GGGGGGGCGGUGGGGGUGGUGGUUAGGGGGCAGAACCGAAGCAACUUGGCCCAGAAAGCUGGGUGCUCAGGAGGCUCUGCUCUAAAGGUGACAGAUCCUAGGAAGUGGCCACUCUGCUGGGAGGGGUGGGCUUGGCUGUCCUGCCCCCAUGCUGCCCUUCCACACCCCUGGCCUGGGUCUGGACCUGUCCCCAUCCCUGGAUCUGGCUCUUGGUUUCCCAAAGGCAAAGGGGAGGGGUGCUGUCCAUUCUCUGCCCCAGGUCCCUGGCCUCUGCUCAGUGCUGUGCACUCCCCUGUAAGCUCAGAGAAGUGAACUGGCAUCUGGUCUGGGUCCUGGGAGCCUGAAGCCACACUGCUGAGGCCAUCAGGAAGUUAAAAUCUAGGGGCUGGGGCAAAUCCCGGAGCCCUUUUCCUGAUGCCCUGGCAACCUGCAGGGCAGGGAGGGCUGCUACUUCUGCCCCAACUUAUCUGUCCUUGGUGUCAUCUCUGUCUUUCCCCCUGAACACCUGCUUCUGCAGUGAGCUACUCUGAGUGGGCCACCACCUCCCUCUGAGGAAGGCCCUUAGUUGGACUUAGGGCCGCACUGAGCUUGGGCUGGGGAGGAGUGAGGGGGCCUGUGUGCAGGGCGUGCCGGUUUCCCCACCUCUGCCUCUGCUGACUGCUUUGGCUUCUCUCUUAUGUGGGUAUUUAUUACAAGUGGCCUUGUGUCAGACACAUGCUCAGUUGUACACACAUGCACACUCAGCUCGCCACCUGGACACACACACACUUUUGUGGGGAGAGAAAGCCAGUGUCUCUAGUUGUGAAGUUUGCUUUGAUAGGCUGGGGGCAGGGGACAGGACACUUAACUCCCUUUCAGUUCCUUCCUAGUCCUGGAAACCUCCCAGGGGACUGUUCUCAUUGGUCUUGCCUGGGGUGGGGAAAGGGAAGGCCUAUGGUCACCCCAGAGGCCUCCAAGAGGGAGCCUCACACCCACCUCAGCAUAGCACUUCCACCCCACAAGCCUGCUGCCCUCCUACUCCUGCAGCCACCACCUGCCACCCUGGUUCUUGGGGAAACCAGUUUACAGUCUUCCCUGAGUGAUUGGGACUGCAAGAGCAGAGGGAGCCAGCUGGGCCUGGUGCCCAGGAACAGAGAAGCAUCAGGGGACCUGCCCUUCCUUUCAGGCUCUGCUCACCUCCCUGCAUUCUGAGGCCAUUUCAGAGUUGAAAGUGUGUCAACCAGUGGCCUCUCGGGCCUGCACAGAUACCUCAUCCGCCCGCUCACCGCCCCUGCCCCUCCCCACCCCUAGCAGUGGGGGCCUUCGAAUCUAGUGCCGAAUGACUAUGUCCAGAUUGGUGACGAUGGGUGUUGUUGCUGUUGUUUUUGUUGUUGUUUGUGAACGCUGUGAUGCUGUGUGCCCUAGAGGGCAGCCACCGCUCAGCCCUUCCUUGGGCAUCUCCCUUCUGAGAGCUGUCAGGACCACAUCUGUCCUCACCCUGUGGGACCGCCUGCCCCUCCCCUCCCUAGCCCUUCCAGCCUGGGGGCUGCGCGCGCGUGUGUGCAUACGUGCACGCGCACACAAACACACAUACACACACACCUUACCUCUCAUGCGUGUUUUACUUUUUGACGUUAGGAGUGGCUCACUGGCUGGGAGCCUUUACCUCGGGGAGAGGGGGAGGUUGGUUCCUUGGGGGGCCAAAGAAGGGCAGGGAGUGCCUGGAGGGGAAUUAAGGGUUACUAAAGCCCUGGCUCUCCAGGAACAGCUUCUCCCCCAUCCCAGGGUCCCAUCCCCAUCCCCCAAAGAGGUGGCCCUUGUUUACAGUGAGGACUCUGGUCACUGUGUCUCCGUUUCCUGAAAUAUAAACUGUAGCGACCCCAGACUGUAGAGAUUUUUAUGUGUUUGGAUACAUCUGCUGUGUGGGAAAAAAACAAAAACCCUACAAAAAACCCUAAUUUUGUACAUAUUGUAUUUUUACUAUUGAACUGUAUUCUAGUGGCUGUUCAUGCUCCAAGACUUUAGGUAUUGAGACAUGAAUACUAUCCAUGUAAUAAGCACUUGCCUGGAAUAAAAUAUAAAACUGAAUAAACCUGCACUGAAACCAGAGAUGGAGCUGCCAGGCUAUGGCAUCUGGGUCACUGUGUUGCAACAGGAGGCCCCCAGACCUCUUGGGAAGGACCUCCAGCAAGAAGCCUCGGGGGCCUGACCCUGUUGACAUUUGAGGGGCACAGGUCCUCAAGCAGCUCAGUGCUGGUCAAUUUUAGAGAAGAUUUGGGACCUUCUGGCUCUAAUGCCAAUGUUCAGUCCCAAGCAAGCUCUGAGAACUGCAGUUCUCAUCUUAGACUUUUGUAAUACUUUCCACUUCCCCAAACCAUUUUUACAAACACUAUCUUGUUUCAUCUCCUAACAGCACGGUGGAGUAAAUAAGCCAAGAACUAGCCCUGUUGUGGCAGGUGAGAAAACAGGUUUGAGGUGGCCAAGUGACUUGUUAGGGUCACACAGCUAGCUGGCCUGGGCCUGCUGUAGACCUGGAGCUCCUUAACCUGAGGAAAUUCCAGUAGGAAAGUGGAGGGGAUCUAUGCACAGAAGAGUAAGAGGCUUCCUGAGAGGAGAUGUGCUUCUGAGGUGGUGAGUC
rnacentral:lncRNA from 1 species